CAACCAGCUGGGUUCCCCUUCCACCCCCUUGGAAGCUUUGUUCUUUUGCUCUUCACAACAAAUCUUGCUGCUGCUCACUCAUUGGGUCCCUACUACCUUUAUGAGCUGUAACACUCACCACGAGGGUCUGCGGCUUCAUUCCUGAAGUCAGCGAGACCACGAACCCACCAGGAGGAACAAACAACUCCGGACGUGCCACCUUUAAGAGCUGUAACACUCACUGCAAAGGUCUGUGGCUUCACUCCUGAAGUCGGCAAGACCAGGAACCCACCGGAAGGAAGAAACUCCAGACACAUUUGAACAUCUGAAGGAACAAACUCCCGACACACCAUCUUUAAGAACUGUAACGUGAGGGUCUGUGGCUUCAUUCUUAAAGUCAGUGAGACCAAGAACCCACCGGAAGGAACCAAUUCUGGACACGAUAUGACUACAAAAUGUUAGAAGGAGCAGUCCAGAAAAGGAAACAGCAUGUGCAAAAGCUCAACUGUGGGAAGGAACUCAGUGCAUUCAAGGAAGAAAAAGUAGACCAGUGAGUCUCAAAUAGAGUGAAUUCAGGGAAGAAGUGCAAGAAAUGAAGAUGGAGAGUCAAGACAGAUCCAGGUGGUGCAGGGCCUUGUAGGUAACAUUUCUCAGAAUGGGUGCUGACAGCUUAGUCAUAAGCUUUUGUGGUCCCGAAGAAAUAUACUCCUCAAUCAUAGCUUCCAACGAUAAUUUCUACUGACCAUUUCAGAAACUGUAAAUAAUUCAUAUGGAAAAUGGUUUAGUGCAAUCUAUACUCACUAUUAGGAAAAAAAGUCCCAUGCCUUGAGACUUCGAGUCAAUAGAAUCUUUAAUGAUUUAAUUAUGGAAAAUUUUGAACAUAUUCAAAGGUAGGGAAAAUAGUACAAUUAACCACCUGUGCCUGUGAUUCGGUUUCAACAAUGAACAACUCAUGGCUAUUUGUUCUUACCAUACCUCCAGACUGGCUCACUCACAUGGAUGACAAGUUGGGCUGAGGCCAGGGUCCUUUCCCAUAUAGGGCUUUUAAUUGGGCUGAUUGAGCAUAUUCACAGUAUGCUGUCUGGCUUCCUCUGUAGCAAAUGAUGCAGAAGGCCAAAAGGGAAGCUGCGGUGCUUUUCAGGACAAAGCCUCGAAGUCACACAUCCUCACUUCUGUUGUUCCAACCAUGAUUCAAUGUGGCAAGGGGCUGACUACACAAGGCUGUGAACACCGGGAAGGAAAUAUCACUGAAGGACAAAUUGAUGGCUAGCUAACACAGUGUGUAUGUGUUUAAGACAAUAACUCUCUUUUUAAAAUGUAAUUGCAAUAUAACUUAAUAAGACUUUAAUAUCAUCAAAUAUAUACAUAUAGUUCACAUGUUCCCAAUUUUUUAAUGGUUUAUUCAGAUCAGAAUUAAAAUACAGUCAUGCAUUGCAAUC
rnacentral:lncRNA from 10 species